rnacentral:lncRNA from 10 species
UGUUCCCAGGAGCAUUCACAACCUGGCACUGGAGGGAUGAGGCCUGGCAUCUGAUGAUCUUGGGCACAGUGGUGCUGGCCUUGGGGAUCUUACAGUCAUCCUCCCUGCCAACAUUAUGUUUAUAGGUGCAAAGUUACCCCGUUGACAUUCACCACAGCAAAGAUCAACAAGUGCAAAUGACUAGGGCAAAUUCAGAAUCCAAGCCAGUUAGUUCAUCAGGGAAGGCUGCUAGGAGUGGGGGAGUUAGAGAGGUGUGCAAAGAGAAACCCAACAGGGCAUGCAAUAGAUUAGGAGAAGAGCAGGAGUACCUCUGGCUGAUGGUGCUGAGGCAGUUGUCUUUCAGGAGGUGUAGCCUGGUUGUGGCCUGGGGAGUUUGGCUGUUCUGUGUGGUGUGCCUCCACGGUGUGGUCUCCAGUGAGCUGCUCAGCAGGUGUAGACCCGGGCAGGGCGAAGCUCUCUGGGCUGUUGACUGUGAGGCCCCUCCCCACCGGUAGAUUUCCAAGCCUCUUCAGUUUUGCAUUCAGCCACAGCAGGUAAACUCCUCCAGGGCAGGACCUGACUCUUCAGAGGAAUUUUUUAAUCCCCCUCCCCAGAAGUGCCCACGUCAAGGCCAUAGUAGAGAAGGAGCUCAAGAGCAAUCCCUAAGCAACCACGCUUGGAAGCAUCCUGCAACAGAGGGAUUUGUUCCAGACUCAGAUUUAAUCCACUAUUACCUUUUCGUAAGACAAGUGUUGUCUGAAGGAGUCUGUGUGUAAUUUUGAGACAAAAGGAUUGCAGAACUCAGCUCCCAGGUUGUCUCAUAUCUGAUUCUUCGAAAGAGGAAAAGAAGCGAACUCUUCUGCACAAUAGCUGAGCAGAUAGGAGAGAAAAAGCUUGAAGAUUCACAGUGGAGCAAGGCUAAUUGGAGCCUUCCUCAGAGCAGCUCAACUAUCCCAGUUUUACCUAUCCCAUUCCUUGCCAUUCCCACUUGUAAUUCUGUCUUGGCAAGAACACCAUACUGAAGGUUCUUAAAGCAGUUUGUAGACUUUAAUUAGUUCUGUGGAAAGUCAGUCAAAGCUCAGCCUUCAUUCUGCCAACAGAGACAACAGUGGUGGGUGUGGAAGGAAGGCAAGAAGAAGAUGGACACCCAGAGCAGUUGUGCAACUUACUGAAGGCCAUGUGGAUAGGAGGAACUGGGUUUAAAACCCCUGAGUCUUGAUAAAAGUGUCUUAGCCUUCUAGAUUCCUAAACAGGUAGUGGGCUCAUCCUACUAACCUACUUUGCUAGGGUGUUGUUGAUGAAUGCUUAUAAACCCUGUCCUAGAUGAUAGGUUUGGAAGAUUGUUAAAGAAAGCAUGUCAUUAAGUCCCUACUCACCCCCUCCUUGACAAAUAGCCCUGGAGGGAAAUGAAUAUUAGCCAGAAUCGUAGGGCCUCCACUUCAAUGGAAUGAACUGAGAUUCAACAACAAGAGAAAUGUUCCAACAGUGAGGGAAAUCAACAAUGUGCUGGGGGUGAAGGGUAGGGGUUGGGAAGGCCUAAACAGGUGACCAUUGCCAGACAGCCCAGACAAGAUCAUCACAGAAUAGCUGAUUCCCAUUAGACACUGUGGGUGAUCAUUAUCUUAAAAUUCAGGACACUAUUUUUGUAGUAGUUUCCCUUCCUCUCUUUGUAAGAGCAGAAGACCUCUCUGGGGCCUAUCACAAGACAAGCGGGUGUUUGCAAAUGAGGGACGUACUUUGAGACUGAAUUGCUCUGUGCUUCUCUAAAAGACAUGGUUAAGAGUUUGGGCGCUGAUGUUAGAGACUGAGAUUAAAAUCCUUCCUUGCCACUUCCAUCAGUAUAAAUUUGGAUAAGUUUCUUAACUUCUCUAAGCCUUGAUUUUCUCACCUAUAAAAUGGGCCUAAUAAUAGUGCCUAACUUAGAGGUUUGUUGUAAAGGUUAAAUGCAAUUAUUCAGGUAAAGCCUUAAUGGAGCCUGAUAUGUAGUAAGCACUCAAUCCAUUUUAUCUACUGACUCUUUUCUCUGUGUGGGUUACCCACUUUGGAGAUUGUCCCCAGUAAUUUCUUUGGUCAAGUCUUGAUCUCCCUGGCCCCUUGGCUGUCUUCUCCCACCAUGAUCAGUGAGAAGUUGAGGAGCACUAAUACCAAAUUCUUUUUCAUGUUAGUUAGGAGAAAGCAGAAUUACGAAGGUCAACCUGCUGGUGUAAAAAAAUAUUACAUAGAUUAGCCCUGCUCUACAUAUUAGAUAUGUUCUCAAAAUGCCUAAGUGGCCUUUUUUUUUUUUUUUAAUUUAAGUUCUAGGGUACAUGUGCACAACGUGCAGGUUUGUUACAUGUGUAUACAUGUGCCAUGUUGGUGUGUGGCACCCAUUAACUUGUCAUUUACAUUAGGUAUAUCUCCUAAUGCUAUCCCUCCCACCCCCACCCCCUGGCAGGCCCUGGUGUGUGAUGUUCCCCACCCUGUGUCCAUGUGUUCUCGUUGUUCAAUUCCCACCUAUGAGUGAGAACACACGUGUUUGGGUUUUUGUCCUUGCGAUACUUUGCCAAGAAUGAUGGUUUCCAGCUUCAUCCAUGUCCCUACAAAGGACAUGAACUCAUCAUUUUUAUGGCUGCAUAGUAUUCCAUGGUGUAUAUGUGCCACAUUUUCUUAAUCCAGUCUAUCAUUGAUGGACAUUUGGGUUGGUUCCAAGUCUUUGCUAUUAUGAAUAGUGCCACAAUAAACGUAUGUGUACCUGUGUCUUUAUAACAGCAUGAUUUAUAAUCCUUUGGGUAUGUGCCCAGUAAUGGGAUGGCUGGGUCAAAUGGUAUUUCUAGUUCUAGAUCCUUGAGGAAUUGCCUAAGUGGCCAUGUUUAUAUUGGGUAAUCUUUAAAUGACUUUAUUUGCAAGUCUGAGUAAUAUACUCAUAGAAACAAGAAUCACAGUUAAGGGAAGGGAAACUAAUAUUUGAGCUUGAGACACUUUCCAUAUCCAAGUCCAAUUGAAUCCUCCCAAUCACCCAAUAAAGAGAUCUUAUUAUUCCCAUUUUAUAUGUUAAACAACCAAAACUCAGAGAGGUUAAUUAAUACUCUCAAAAUCACUCUUCUAGGGGUGGUGGAGCCUAAGUUUGAAUGCAGCUCUGGCUCCCAAACCUGUCCAUUUUCUACUAUGUCAUGCUCAAAGGCAUAUUCUGCUUUUGUCCAUUGUCAGCCUAUGUGCAUUUAAGUUUCCCACACAAAUUCAAGAAGAAUUUUAUCCAUCAAUUCACAUGACCUUGAGUAUUAAUUUAGUUUAAAAAUCUUUCCCCUUAUGAUUUAAAAAAUAUUCACUUUAAGAAAUUAUCUGCCAUGUGCAGGAUUAUCAUAGGAUUAAAAAAAAAAAAGAAAUUAGCAGCCGGUUGUGGUGGUUCAUGCCUGUAAUCCCAGCACUUUGGGAGACUGAGGUGGGAGCAUUGCUUGAGGCCAGGAGUUCAAGACCAGCCUGGGUAGCAUAGUGAGACUCUGCCUCUACAAAAAAUUAAAAAUUAGCCAAGCAUGGUGACACACGCCUGUAGUCCCAGCUACUCAGGAGGCUGAGGCAAGAAGAUUACUUGAGCCCAGAAGGUUGAGGCUGCAGUGAGCUAUGACCACUACAUUCCAAUCUGGGUGAGGGGUGAGAGAAGAAAGAAAGAUAAAGAAGGAAAGAAAGAAAGUAAGAAAGAGAAGGAAAAAGGAGAAGGA